UACCUUUCUGUUGGCUUUUCUCUCUCGCCGAUCUCUGCUUCGAUCCGUCUUAUUUUGCGUUCUGUUCUUCUAAAAGCUUGCGUACCUCUCAAAUCCUCUGUACUUUAUUUCACAAAAUAUUCACGAAAUUGGCCUCUAAAGUUUUAUCCUUUGUUGUAAAAUCAUGCGUUCCUUCUUUUUGUUUUUUGGGGAUUUUGUUUGCGGUCUCCGUUUUCAAAGAAGUCGUACAUCCCUGUGAACGUAGAUUUGUUGACGUUCUGUGGAAACUCAUAAAAUUGGUUUCCAAGGUUUUAUCCUGAACUUGCAAUCGCUGGGAAGACUUUGUGUCUCUUUUUGCGUCUGUCAUACCGGUGUUGUCGCCGGAUUUCCGACGAAUUUUCAGCCCAGUUUGGGAACGGCCUGUUUUCAGGUUAUUGUCCGAUAAAUUCCAUUGAACCCAGUGUUUUCGAGGCUUUGCUGGCUAAAAGAGGAUUCUGCCUUUGACGUCCUCUGUUGAAAAAUCUGAAAUUUGGCAGGAGCUGGAACCGUUGUUUUGGAUUUCUUCAGGAGACCUAUUCUCCAGGUACAAUUUUUAUGAUCGUGUUUUUCCUUCGUGGUUUGGCGAUACUCAACCUUCUCCAUCUAUUAAAGACCUAAAAUACAGCAAAUUGAAUGCCACAACCAGAAAUCUAUUGGGGAAGAAACACGCCCCAACAAGUGCAGUAGGUGUAAUUGAGUGCCAAUUAUUUUCAAGUCAGGUAUAUUAUAAUUGUUUUCUCCUUUAUUGUUGUUUGCUAUGUGAAUUCAAAACAUGAAGACUUUAUCCUAAUUCCCUUAAUCCCUUUCUAUCAUCUCUCAUUGAUAUGCUUCUUUCUCUUUUUAUUCAAAAAAGCCAAUGCACAUAAGGUGUUCGAUGUUAUGCCUCUUUGAAAAUUUAACAAACAAAGUAAUAUACAUGUACAAUCUCCUACAAGCCAACACUGUAAAACCCCACCCCUAAAAGUAAUGUAAUUUUAUUUUGUUUUGGGUAUUGUUUUCUUUUAAAAAUUGUUUUUGGUGUUAAAUUGUGUGCCACGUGGGGCCCAUCCCCUUUUUGGUCUCCUUCACCCUCUCUUUCCCAUCACUCUCCCUCACUUUCUCUAUUUCUUCUUCUCCUUCACCGUGCCACACCCAUAACCCAUAUCCUAAAAUCAUCAUCAUCAAAUCACAAUUUCAAUAUCACCAUCGUCUUUAUCUCGUCACUACGAACUCAACCAUAGUCUUGGCAUCUUGGAAGUCGAACCAUGAAGUCCCGUACACGAGCUCCAACGCAGACCGCCCCUUUCGAGCCAAAUUACGGCCAAAACACUGCAAUUUGGCUAGCGUACAAGAUAUAAAUCUCUUCGUCUCGUCGAGUACUACAACUUUCAUUUUUGUUUCACCCAAUUUCGUUAAGUAUUGAAGAAGUUAUACUCAUUUGAAUCUUACCCAGUUUCCAGCAACCUCGUGGCUUUUGAGGUAUUUUUCGGCCAAACCACGGUGAGUUAGACGUCAUGCAAGAUACCAUUCUCUUUGCCUCUUCGAGAACUAUGACUUUCGUUUUUGAAUCACUCGAUUUCGUUAAGUUUUGACAAAGUUAUGGCCGUUUAAAUUUGGUAUAGCUUUCCGGCUGAAAUCUGGCCUUCUCCUUCCUUUGAAUCCGGCAACCCAGAAAUCCCAAGAUCUUUGGGCCUUUCCUGCCGAGCCCAACCCAAAACCUAUUUAAGUUUUUAUUAUUUAUUUAUUUAUUUUUAAUGUAAAAGGCCCUUGGGCCAUUUUAAAUCAGGGCCUUCGGCCCAUCCUCCUUAAAACCCUUUACUUUAAGUUGUUUUUAUUUUUAUUUACUAAACUAAAGGCCCUUUGGGCCAUUCCUUAAGUCUUAGACCCUUGGCCUUAAGCCCACUCCUUAAAACCCCAACCCAUUUAUUUUAAAGCCUAACCCAUUUUCCCUUAAACCCAUUUCUUGUUUAAAAAAAAAAAAAAAAAAAAAAAAAAAAACCAAAAGGCCUUUAGGCCAUUUUCCUUUAGGGCCUUAGGCCCGUGCAUCCUAAACCAACCCUUUAAACCCCAUUACCCUAAACCCUUAACCAUAAUCUAUCCAAACCCUUUAUGGGAAAUAUUCUGUUAGGGAAUAUUCCAUUAGAGAAUAUUCCGUCAGGGAAUAUUCUAGGAAUAUUCUAUUGACUUUUACGAAAUUUAAACGAGACCCUUCUUAGGGUAAUUCGACGUUCUGAAUCCAUUUCCAACGUCCGUUUUCCCAAAUUCAAUUGCUAUUAUAUAGUUUUAUUAAUUGGACUCUUUAUGUGCUUAAGGGCAAUUAUAGUGUCGUUUCUGUCUUUGCUAGUUGCGUGACUUUUCGAUGGCGGAGUACUGUGAGUGGACCCCUUCUAAAAUUACAUGAUUUCAUAGUUUAAUUGUAUAAAUGAAUAGCAUGCCUUACGAGUUUAUGAACUGAAUUUUAUGUUAAGCAUGUUUAUUGAAAU